UACAGAGGGGGCAAGCGUUGUUCGGAAUUACUGGGCGUAAAGGGCGCGUAGGCGGCCUGCUAAGUCGAACGUGAAAUCCCUGGGCUCAACCCAGGAACUGCGUCCGAUACUGGCAGGCUUGAAUCCGGGAGAGGGAUGCGGAAUUCCAGGUGUAGCGGUGAAAUGCGUAGAGAUCGGGAAGAACGCCGGCGGCGAAAGCGACUCACUGGUCGGAAUCUGACGCUGAGGUGCGAAAGCUAGGGGAGCAAACGGG
rnacentral:rRNA from 1 species